rnacentral:rRNA from 1 species
AACGAACGCUGGCGGCAGGCUUAACACAUGCAAGUCGAACGCACCGCAAGGUGAGUGGCAGACGGGUGAGUAACACGUGGGGAUCUGCCCAAUGGUACGGAAUAGCUCCGGGAAACUGGAAUUAAAACCGGAUGAGCCCGCAAGGGGAAAGAUUUAUCGCCAUUGGAUGAACCCGCGUCGGAUUAGCUAGUUGGUGUGGUAAAGGCGCACCAAGGCGACGAUCCGUAGCUUGUCUGAGAGGAUGAUCAGCCACACUGGGACUGAGACACGGCCGGGACCCUUACGGGAGGCAGCAAUGGGGAAUAUUGGACAAUGGGCGCAAGCAUGAUCCAGCCAGGCCGCGUGAGUGAUGAAGGCCUUAGGGUUGUAAAGCUCUUGCGCCGACGAAGAUAAUGACGGUAGUCGGAGAAGAAGCCCCGGCUAACUUCGUGCCAGCCGCCGCCGUAAUAC